AUACGUAGGGGGCGAGCGUUGUCCGGAAUGAUUGGGCGUAAAGGGCGCGUAGGCGGCCCGGUAAGUCUGGGGUGAAAGUCCUGUUUUUAAGAUGGGAAUUGCUUUGGAUACUGUCGGGCUUGAGUGCAGGAGAGGUAAGUGGAAUUCCCAGUGUAGCGGUGAAAUGCGUAGAGAUUGGGAGGAACACCAGUGGCGAAGGCGACUUACUGGACUGUAACUGACGCUGAGGCGCGAAAGUGUGGGGAGCAAACAGGAUUAGAUACCCUGGUAGUCGACACUGUAAACGAUGAAUGCUAGGUGUAGGGGGUAUCGACCCCUUCUGUGCCGCGGUCAACACAAUAAGCAUUCCGCCUGGGGAGUACGGCCGCAAGGUUGAAACUCAAAUGAAUUGGCGGGG
rnacentral:rRNA from 1 species